UUGCGUUUGUAUUUCAGUGAUUACACAAUUCUUGUUUCUUCCCUGUGCAUUGUAAUUUUCUGCUAAAACGUUCAGAAUGGUAUUUAAGGUCCUCAUCAAUUAUAAUGACAGUAAGAAUAAAGAACUAGAUGUGGCGGAUUCAGAAGACAAAUUUAAGAAGACGACCAUCAGAGAACUGAAGGAGAAAUUUAGAUCUAAGGUGUCUGGAGCCCCUGACCCAGGUGACGCAAGGGCGAUUUUUGGAAAAUGGCCACUGGAAGAUGAUCUUACACUUGGCUAUUACAACAUUACACAUUUAUCUGUUCUUUUCUUUGUGCUGAAAAUGCCUGGUGGAGGUUCACUUGAUAAAGAAUUUCCCAGGUCUGAAUCUAUGGAGAGAUUACAUUUGAAAAUGUAAAUGUGUUAGACAUACUGCAUUCAGUCUAAAUAAGAGCUAAAUAUUUAACAUACUUGCUGAAGAAAUGGAGAAACAUCCUCAUAUCAUACACAGAAAAUGUAAUAAACUCAGCACAACUGAUGUUUUUUUUUUUGCUUUUUUUUAUAUCAAAACCUGCCCAAAGUUCUUUAGUGAAUAUUUACAACUACAUUUAUGCAUUUAACAGACACUUUUAUUCAAAGUGAUAUACAAGUGAGGAAUAUAACAAGUGAUUCACAUAUAUGACUGACAUUGUUGUCUGUACUGUUCGCUGCUGGUAACAUCCAAUCAAAAAUAAAUAAAUUGUAAAUAGAGUAUAAUUCAGAUAAUAUGUAGGAUAAUAUAUUUCUGUGCCUGUGUAUAUUUUUGGAUAUGAUGCAUCUUUUUUUUUUUCUUAAUUAAUAACGGACGUUUUUUGACAAC
rnacentral:lncRNA from 1 species